AGUGGGGAAUAUUGGACAAUGGGGGCAACCCUGAUCCAGCAAUGCCAUGUGUGUGAAGAAGGCCCUAGGGUUGUAAAGCACUUUAGUUGGGGAGGAAAGCCUUAAGGUUAAUAGCCUUGGGGGAGGACGUUACCCAAAGAAUAAGCACCGGCUAACUCCGUGCCAGCAGCCGCGGUAAUACGGGGGGUGCAAGCGUUAAUCGGAAUUACUGGGCGUAAAGGGUCUGUAGGUGGUUUGUUAAGUCAGAUGUGAAAGCCCAGGGCUCAACCUUGGAACUGCAUUU
rnacentral:rRNA from 1 species